rnacentral:lncRNA from 1 species
CCCCAAAACGUAUUAGAUUGAGCUGGUCCACCUUCUAGGCUGGGCUCAAGUGAGCCAUUCUUCUGGUCUCUGCUGGGCCCUUUCAGGCACGUGUGGUCAGCUGCUGGUUGACUAGGCAAUGCUGCUUCUGAGGGUGAGCUGCCUGUCAACUGUGGCACUUUGGUUUUCCUCCCUAUAGUAUCUCAUCCUCUAGCAGGCUAACAUGGACUUGUUAUUAUGGAGAUGACAGGGUUGUGAAAUAAAAAGCAGAAGCAUUCAAGAGCUUUUGUGCCUCGGCCCCAAACUGGCACAUGGUCAUAUUCACAGCUUUCUACUGCCAGAGCAAAUAAGGCCAGUGAGAUUCAAGGUUUGGGAAACAGAUUCUGCCUCUCAAUGAAAGCAGCUAUAAAAGCACAUCACAAAGGGCAUAAAUACAGGAAGGGAUGAAGAGUUGCUGCCAUUUUUGCAAUCAGUAUCAUGCCUUUUCUUGCAGAUGAGGUUUAUAUAACUUUCCAAGACAAGGAAGUUGUGCAAAGCCUCACAGCUACUAAGAGGCUGGGCUGGGACCAGGAUUAACUUUUCGUGACUCCAAAGCCCAUGCACCUCUGCAAGCCACACGAAUCAAGCAGCUUCUCUAAACCUUUGAAGUCCUGGAAAGUAACUCUUCUGCAAUAGAAGCAAGAAUCCUGUGAGAUUGGGAUCCAUCUAGUACUCUUCACCAUUUGGAACAACUGCCUCCAGAGAAUGCUUCUGACACAUCUUGGAAGAACGUGGAAUAACUUGAGGAAAUGGUCGAUUUGCUAAUUUAGGAAACCAAUGUUCGAUAUUACAUAUUUUUUAUUUCUUUUCAUAGGAUAAAUUUAAAAGCACAGAUGACGCACUCCACAUGAACGCAAAUCCUAUUCAUCCCUUUUUGUUGUUUGUAGGCUAUUUAUGAUUUUCAACAAAGACUAAAUCAAACCACUGUGUCUGAAAUAACCUCUUACUCUGAAAGCAAGUGACAUGAAAAUAGACCUGCUGAGAAAAAUUUCUUCCUGCUGCAAUUUAACGAAACAGCUGACUACAAUUUGAAGCCAUUCUUUGAUUUUUUUUUUU